rnacentral:lncRNA from 1 species
AACCUUGGUUAAACAGGUUACAUGAACUUAUAAAAGAAGUAGAACACACAUGCUUCCCAUUAGGUGAGAAAGAAACAUGCCUGAGAGUCUAAUGGAUUACUCAAGUCUGUGCUGCCAAGGAAGAACAGAAUCUUUAGAUAUCAUGUGUUUUACAAAUUGAAGUUUGUGGAAACCCUGCAUCAAACAAGUCUAUUGGUGACAUUUUCCCAACAGCAUUUGCUCACUUUGUGUUUCUGUGUCACAUGUUGAUAAUUCUUACAAUAUUUGAAACCUUUUUUAUUAUUAUACAUGUUCUGG